rnacentral:rRNA from 1 species
GCCGCGGUAAUUUGACCGUGCGAAGGUAGCAUAGUCAGUAGUCUUUUAAUUGAAGGCUUGAAUGAAAGGUUGGACGAGGGAUAAGCUGUCUCUUUUGUGUGGUUUGAAUUUAACUUUUGAGUGAAAAGGCUCAAAUUGCUUAGUGGGACGAUAAGACCCUAUAAAACUUGAUAUAAAUUUAAUUUAACUUAUAAUUUAAGUAAUAAGUAUUUUAGAUGGGUUUAUAUUUUGUUGGGGAGAUGUAGAUAUAAUAUGUAACUGUUUGUUAAAUUUAAUAAUUAUAAUUAGUGUGUGAUCCUUCUUUGUGGAUUAAAAGUAUAAGUUACUUUAGGGAUAACAGCGUAAUUUUCUUUGAGAGUUCUUAUCGACAAGAGUAGUUGCGACCUCGAUGUUGAAUUAAAAUUUCAGCUAGGUGUAGCCGUUUAGCUGGUAGGUCUGUUCGACCUUUAAAAUU